rnacentral:rRNA from 1 species
AAAAACUAAGGUGGUAUAUGAUGGAUCCGCGUCUGAUUAGCCAGUUGGUGAGGUAACGGCUCACCAAAGCGACGAUCAGUAGCCGGCCUGAGAGGGUGGACGGCCACAUUGGGACUGAGACACGGCCCAGACUCCUGCGGGAGGCAGCAGUGGGGGAUAUUGCACAAUGGGGGAAACCCUGAUGCAGCGACGCCGCGUGAGUGAAGAAGUAAUUCGUUACGUAAAGCUCUAUCAGCAGGGAAGAAAAUGACGGUACCUGACUAAGAAGCCCCGGCUAACUACGUGCCAGCAGCCGCGGUAAUACGUAGGGGGCAAGCGUUAUCCGGAAUUACUGGGUGUAAAGGGAGCGCAGACGGCAGUGCAAGUCUGGAGUGAAAGCCCGUGGCUUAACCACGGGACUGCUCUGGAAACUGUGCAGCUAGAGUGCAGGAGAGGCAGGCGGAAUUCCUAGUGUAGCGGUGAAAUGCGUAGAUAUUAGGAGGAACACCGGUGGCGAAGGCGGCCUGCUGGACUGUAACUGACGUUGAGGCUCGAAAGCGUGGGGAGCAAACAGGAUUAGAUACCCUGGUAGUCCACGCCGUAAACGAUGAUUACUAGGUGUCGGGGGACGAUAGUGCUCCG